rnacentral:rRNA from 1 species
CCUACGGGUGGCUGCAGUGAGGAAUAUUGGUCAAUGGUCGCGAGCCUGAACCAGCCAAGUAGCGUGAAGGAUGACUGCCCUACGGGUUGUAAACUUCUUUUGUAAAGGAAUAAAGUGAGGCACGUGUGCCCUUUUGUGUGUACUUUAUGAAUAAGGAUCGGCUAACUCCGUGCCAGCAGCCGCGGUAAUACGGAGGAUCCGAGCGUUAUCCGGAUUUAUUGGGUUUAAAGGGCGCGUAGAUGGUUUGUUAAGUCAGUUGUGAAAGUUUGCGGCUCAACCGUAAAAUUGCAGUUGAUACUGGCAGUCUUGAGUACAGUUGAGGUAGGCGGAAUGCGUGGUGUAGCGGUGAAAUGCUUAGAUAUCACGAAGAACUCCGAUUGCGAAGGCAGCUUACUAAGCUAUCACUGACACUGAUGCUCGAAAGUGUGGGUAUCAAACAGGAUUAGAUACCCGAGUAGUC